AGUUCCUUUGGGAAAAAAACCCUGACCACAAAGGGAACACCACAGGGCCAUAUUUGGACCCCAAUAAGUUCUUAAAUGGAAAAAUAGGGCAAAGUUAGUCAUAUAGAAAUAUAUAUUAAGCUAAAAUUCAUGUGCAGAGUAAAUGGAGAUAAAGUGUUUAAAAGUAAAGUGGAAUAUUUCUGGUAGCAUUGGCAUCUUCACACAAUGGCAAGAACUUCCUCGGUGCUGUCAGUGUGGGGGGAGCCGCGGCCGCUCUUUCUCCUGCAGAACCACAGCAACAGGAGAGAAGUUUCCUAUUCAGUGUCUUAAAAGUUACGCGGCCAUGUGGAGAAACACCGCCACUCAGUUGAAGACGACAGAUGAAGAGAAGGGAAUGUUAUUAAAAACAUAUACGCACUUUAAAUACUUCAUUCAACAUAUUCGUUUUCUCUCAUCGGUUAAGUACGAAGCAAGGAACAUAACGGAAUCAGAUUUAACGUGUUGUUACCUGUCAGCUUUGACCGUGUAGCACACAAGAACCAGAACCAGAACCAGGACCAGAACCAGAACCGAAACCAGCACGGCAGCAAUGAGACCACCAUCCAUUGUGUGAGACUCUGCCAAUAGAACAGAAAGUUCAACCCUCCGGAUCCCAAUCUGACAUCUCUUUUAAUUCACUUCUUAAUGUGGAGCCGCGGUUUCACUGCUUUGACUUUAUAAUUUGGGUUCUUAAGUUGUUUCUAUUGUUCUGUUUAAUCAGAGUUGGAAUGGAAUGGAAAGUUUAGCACCUUCUUUCUGUGGAUCCUCGGAGUUUACGCUGCAGUUGACUGAAAAAACAGAACAAAAGAAAUGAAAACCUUUACUUGAGGAUGCAGAAGAUGAAGCAGUCUGCUGCUGAUAUUAAUACUCACAGGUGCAGGUAGCGACUUGGUUCACCUAAGCAGAAAGAAUAGAUUUGAUCAUCAAUAAUGUGCAGAUUAAAAGGAGAAUCUUUGUGAGAGUGGUUCACAGUGUAGUACCCCAUCGCUGCAGGUUCUGCUGUAGAACAUCUGGGGGAAGCACUGGUAGGUGUCAAGGCUCCGGUUGCUGCUCCUCGCAACCUGCUCACUAUGCCCGCUGGGAUUGGCCAAGUUCUAAGGUCGACAUACAAGCACGGAGACUCAUUGAUCGCCCCGGUAGGUAAAGAUGGGAGCUCCUGGUCUAUCAACCAUAUAAACAAAGAACAACAAUAUAAGUGUGGAAGCUUCCACUUACCGUCUGGUUCCACCAGCGGAAGUCACAGGCUUCUCCAGUGAACUGUGGGACACUGUAAUGGGUUCUGUCUGCGUCCCGGGUGACGGUGCACUGAAGGUCUGUAGCACUGACAAGCUGCAAGAAGACUGAGAGAGGACAUAAAGAAAAGGACGUGAGGACGGCUCCUCGGUAGCUCCCAGGAACUUAGCUAAAGUCUCAACGUUGGCCAUCAGCAUGUGAAUCUAACGGGGUGGUCUGAGCUGGUCCAUCACCAGCAAUCAUCGAGUCGGUCCGGUUAUUAACCGCCGGGCCACUUCUUCCCACUGCUGAAGCCUCACGCAUUUCAACUACAGCGCCACAUCUAUGGCGUUAUAUUUGUGCCACAAUCCUGAGCGCGUAAUUGUACUUUCCUCAGGUGCCGUCUCCACAAACUGGUUUUCUGCGCGCAGGCAGCCGUUGCUGCGCUCGCUCCACCUCUUCACUCACGCGCUCGCUCGACUUGCAGCAGCGUUACAUUUGUGCCACAAAACCAACCAAUCAGAGAAUUAAAGAAGGUCCAUUGUGUAAGAAUACGUGUUCAAGAAUCGGAGCCUGGUCGGGGUUAUCAAAAAUUCAGCCGAACGACUUCUCUCGUUCUGGAAAAUGUAUUUGUCAGAUCACAGGUCAAGUAUCAGCGCUGCGUUUGCAAAGGCAGGAGCAGUUCAGGCAGCACACAGGCCGGAAGAACAACUCACUAACAUCAGCAAGAACAUCAUGUUUUAUAACCCUUGAAAGACAGAGAAGGAAAGAUUUCUAUUGGCCCUAAACUGGCGUAGAGGAGGACCUUCCACCUCCCGCAUCUAAGAUCCGGUCACAUCCAAUGUCCAGACUCCUGACUUAACGUAAACAUCGUAAACAGAGUGUGUAUGUUGAAUAGUGUUGGUGUGUCUCUAACCCCCCUUUGGCUGGUAAAUCUUCUAGUUGACCCGCAGACC
ensembl:lncRNA